GACAAACAGAUCAAGUCAAGCCAUAAUUGGUGUAAAAGGAAGUUAGAAAGUAAUAACGAAGAGAGAAAAAUUUUUCUUGUAGAGGUGGAAUUUGCGCAAGAAAAGGUAGAUUAGCAUUUUUCUUAUAUUUUGAUACUUCGAAAUUAAAGAAAGAGACCGGGAUUAGAUACCCCGUUAUUUUUACUGUAAAAUCUGGGUUUCCUACCUGAGUAUUACGAGUGGGGAUUUUAGGUAUGUACCUAUAGAAUCUUUAUUUAGCUUAAAACUCAAAAAACUUGGCGGUGCCUUAUUUCUUUCCAGGGGAACCUGUCCUGUAAUCGAUAAUCCACGAUUAAGCUUACUUUUUUUUGUAAAUGUUUGUCUUCAGUUUGUAUACCGUCGUCGUCAGAUUACCUUUAAAAGACUAAAAGUUGUCGGAAAAAUAGAGUUGGAUGAAUAAAGCUGUAACUUUAAUUGGUUUAGCGGAGUGAGUCCGGUAUGUUUUGAUGUCAGAUCAAGGUGCAGCUAAUAAAAAAGAAGAGAUGGGUUACAGUAUAAAUUCAAUUUGGAUCUCAGGUUGUAAAACUUGAAUGAAAUUGGACUUGGAAGUAAUGUAAAACUUUUAUUGAAUUAGAUAGUUAAUG
rnacentral:rRNA from 1 species